AGAGUUUGAUCCUGGCUCAGGACAAACGCUGGCGGCGUGCGUAACACAUGCAAGUCGAACGGACCGGGCAACCGGUCAGUGGCGGACGGGUGAGCAACACGUGGAUGACCGACCCGGCUCUGGGGAAUACCCGCCCGAAAGGGUGGUUAACUCCGCAUACGCUCGAGAGAGGAAAGUCGAAAGACGGUGCCGGACGGGUC
rnacentral:rRNA from 1 species